GUUUGUCAUUUUAGACAACUUGCUCGAAGCACUUAAUGCCUAUUUGGACAAGGAGUUGGAUUUUCUUCAAUGGAUUGCUAAUUCUAACUCUAAGAACUAUCAGUUAUGGAUAAUUUGGGAAGAGGUAUGGCAUGGCUCAGUGCACUAGGGAUAUAAGUAGAACUGACUGCAACAGUUUCUUGGAUACUCAACUAAUGACAUUUAGAACUACAAUUAGAAAUAAGAGAGGAUGGUAGGUGUAUGGAUUAAGUUGGAGUAUGUAGUACCAUGAUUACUAGUUCUAUUCAAACUUUUCCAUCACUGCAAAUGAUGGUGAGUUGCUAUCAACUUUGAUCAUUGUUAUGCUUGUUUCAAGUGUCCACUGCAUAACUUUUAUUAACUACUACAAUCCUUGAGAUUAUUUUGACACAAAUGAUAUUGAACCCUUUCUGUAA